GUUGCCCCGCCCCCAACGCGCGGAGCGACCAGAGAGAGGACGAGCGUGCGAGAUCUCGCGGUAACUGCCCGCCAGUAUUUAAGCUCUGAGGAGGCAUGGGCUCGGUCUCUGUCCUCGCUUCCCGUCCUGCUGGGUGAGGUGCCUCCUCGGGACCGUGCGGCCUGACUCCUCCAUGGGGAGCUGGGCCCGGGCCGGCGGCAGAGCGCUCCUCGCCCCAGCCUGGCGGGGCCCUUCCGCACGGUGGGGGCGGGGGACGCCGCUCCGGGGACUCGCGCGCGCCUCUCCGGCUCUGCCCCGCCGCCCCGGGUCGCCGGUGGAUGCGGGAGCCGGGUGAGGCUGGCUCUGCGGGUGGCCGCUCCGGAAGCGCGUCCGACGCGGUGGCAGAAAGGACGAGCUCUGCGCAGAUAAAUGGUCACAUGUGACUGAAAUGCUCAUGAAGACACCUCUUAGGAAUGAAGAAGUUCCUCUGCUGGAAAAGUCCUCCAGAAUAUAUUUACAAUUAUCAGGUGCCUAGAUGUACUUCAUAGAACUUGCAAGACACUAACAUGAAUCUCCUUGAAUGUGAAACUACCCUAAGGAGUGACAAAUUCUCAGGGAAAAAUGAACAAAAUAGAAGGGAUUCAAACUUGCAGCUCCUGCUUUGGUGAAAGUGUGGUGGUGGUUACAGACAACAAUUAAAUGAUUAUGGAUGAAAUCAGUAAUGUAUAAUGUGCUUUUCUAGCCAUUACUUAUCUUACUGUUUUUCUAAACAACAGUUGAUCACUUCAGUUUGCAUGGUUAAAUUUUUGACCCAGCUCAUGUUUCAGUUCUGAAAUGGAAUAAAAGUCAUUCAUCUUUGAAUUUACUUUGAAUAAGUUGUCUGGGAUUUUGAGACAAAAUUAGUGUUUGGGGAAUAUUUUUUACACUAUAUUCAACUAAUAAAGAAUUUUGAAGUACAAUGUACCUGGGCGUUUUUGCAUACAAAUGCAGCAGAGCAUUUGAAGCAUGAAGAGGAGGAAGUGGAUGAACCUGAAACAUUAGAUACAGUUCCUAUCCCAGCAUCUCAUUGCAGAUGACUCGGACCUUUUCAGGCAUGAGUAUUUCUGCUUACACCUUGCAUAUCUGGGUUACAAUCUAGUCAAUAGGCCACUUACACAAUGAGACAAACAGGUCACUUGUGGUCCACAGAUUGAAGCUGAAGUAAUUUAUCAGGUGGGGCAGAUUCCACCAAUUAAUGACUUGGGGAAACCCUGUGUAGUCAAAAUAUAAAACAAAUUACAAAAAAGCAUAAUUUACCCUAACACUAAAAUUAACCUUUGUUUUAGGGUAGAAAGACACCAACCUUAGUCACCUUUUUUGAAAAGUCAGUCUUCAUAAAACUUGAAGACACCUUAAUGUUUUCGUGAGAGUGGUUUCCUACAGACAUUUACGUAGUAAAAUAGAGAAAUGUUUGUGAAGUGCUGUCCUUACACUUAUUCCAAUUGGCAAAUGAAGAUAACCUGUGCUUCAAUCCUGUGUUCUUUGUAGUGGCAGGCCAUGGAGUGAGUUACAAGCCUACUCUGUCACUCUAUAAAGAAAGGGGUGGAGCAUGCUAUUGUAUUGUCUUCCUUAGUCUCAAAACUCAUCUAAUGGCCUUGCAAUUGUCCACGGAGUUAACUAAAGUAGUAUAACCAGGCAUUUACCUAUGACCAACAGCUUGGGAUAAGGGGUUCAGGUUGUGGGAGGGAGCUCUGGGCUAGGGGUGCAGGCUUGAGUGGAGCUGGGAGUGAGGGCUUUGGGGUGCAGGAAGGGGCUCAAGGCUGGGGCAGGGAAUUGGGGCAUGGGCUUACCUUGGGUGGCUUCCAGUAAGCGGCGCAGUGGGGGUGCUAAGGCAGGCUUCCUGCGCCCUGGAAGUGGCCUGCAGCAGGUCCAGCUCCUAGGCACAGGGCCCACAGGCAUAGGAAAAACUAUUCUCCCCCUACUGUUACUUGCACCUGCCUGUCAGCAGUUUGAAAUAGGCCACCCUGACUACUGCUACAGAGGUGAUUUUUUUCCUCAUGUUGAUAGCCCACUGUAAUUGGAUUGUCUCGUUAGAACUGACCCCGCCCCCACUUGAUAAGGCAACUCCCAUCUUUUCAUAUAUUGUGUGUAUAUAUCUUCCUACUAUUUUUUCCACUCCAUGCAUCUGAUGAAGUGGGAUUUUAGCCUACAAAAGCUUAUGCCCAAAUAAAUUUGUUAGUCUCUAAGGUGCCAUACAUACUCCUUGUUUUUGUUGAUACAGACUAACACGGCUACCACUCUGAAACUUGUAUUGGUGGCCCCUUUCACAAAGCAAGCCUCUCAGUGUGACCUUCCCUACUCCCUCCCCUUAUAAAUUAAAAACAUUUUUUAUAUUUAACACUAUUAUAAAUGAUGGACCCAAAGCAGCGUUUGGAAGUGGAGACAGAGCUCAUGACCCCUUGAGAGGUCGCCAUCCCCAGUUUGAGAACCCAUGCUAUAGAGCAAACACAUCAUUUAGAUAUGCAGUCUUGACUUAAAGGAAUGGGGAAGCCACCAUAUCCCUUAGAUAAAUUGUUUCAAUGACUAAUUAAGCCAGUUCAUAAAAAUUCAUCUCAGAUUUGUUGUGCACAGUACCGUUUUGGAGGGCUUGGCUGGAUUAUAUAUAUUUUUUCUUUUGGGCACGUGUUCCACUUUAGCUUCUUAUAUGGAGUUUCAGAAGAGGCUGUGCACCUGAUGAAUAAACUGUUAAUGAGGGCAUAGUGCAUUUUCUUUUCAUGUCCACAUUACAUCCUAGGUUAUAUGCAAAAAGAAAAGACAAAUCUUGAAUAGUACUUCAAAAAAAAUUUGGGGGGGAGGAGAAAGGACCAUUAGUAGAUGGAGACCAUACUAGAAAAAAUGUAAAUUGUUGAAAGCAGUGUAGGAGAAUCACCAAAAUGUAACACUUGAGAAUUAAGACCUAAAUGCUCAAAAAUAAGUUUAAUUUUUAAGUUUCAGAGUAGCAGCCGUGUUAGUCUGUAUUCGCAAAAAGAAAAGGGAUACUUGUGGCACCUUAGAGACUAACAAAUUUAUUUGAGCAUAAGCUUUUGUGAGCUAUAGCUCGCUUCAUUGGAUGAUGUAGCUCACAAAAGUUUAUGCUCAAAUAAAUUUGUUAGUCUCUAAGGUUCCACAAGUCCUCCUUUUCUUUUUGCAGAUAAAAGGAAAACCUUUGUUUCAGAACAUACUCUUUCUAGAGGGGUUUGUAAAGAUAAGAGUAGACAAAUAUUCCUUUGUAACCAAGAGAACAAUUGUUCAGAGAAUGUAGUCACCCACAACUUAGUUUAUUGCUCCAAAGUCUUCAGUGCAAAUGAGUAUUGACUAUUCUUGGAACUAAUGCACAUGUAAGUUAAAUGAAACUGGCCACUUUCUAUAUAUGGAAAAUAUCUGCCAAUAUUUGUUUACAUGGAAACUAGAGUUUUUUAAUGCACAGCUUUUAGAAUGGUUGACAAGUUUUACAGUAAAAUUGGUUUUACUACAAAAUCAAAAUAGUUUUAGAUUUUAAACAUCAAACAGAAAUGUCAAUUAUACAGUGAGCACUUUUAGUGUUCUGGAAAAUUAAUACUUUACAAUACGUUAAUAUAAUUAUGAGAGAAAUCCGUUAAUGGCCUUUCUAUGUUACAUGCAUAUGGUUUAUAUUUUGUAAGAAGUGCUGUACAUAGAUUGUGGUUUUGAAUUGGUGAUGUUUAAAAGUAUAAUACAAAUUGAUUGAAAAAACAGCUGACUUCAGUGAACAUCCAGUGUCUUAGACAAUUUACUCAUUUAAUUUUGGAGUAAUUGAGAUUCAUGGAAAGCUGCAAAAAAUAUUGUAUUAAAAAUAAUGGAAUGAACAGACUUUGUUUAAUUUUUAGGUACAUUUACACAAACAAAAGGAGUCAAUGACUUAUUCCUAUUAAUACAAAAUUAUAACCCCCACUCUGAUUAACUGAUUGGGAUUAAUUAUAUUUGUAUGGCAACUUUAACAUGUAGAGCAACAAAGUAUGAUAUUACAUGGAUAUUGUGACUUGGCAUCCAGGAAUAAGCUGGAGCAAAUGCAGUCAGUGAGGAAGCAUAAAAACUGUUGGACUACGUAGGCUGUGAUUCUGCAGGCAGAUCCUUCCAGCUGUAUAGUGUGCCAGUGACUAACUGGAUAGUGUCUUUUUAAACUUUUUUUUAUAUAUAUAGUUAUAUUUUAUAUAUCUAUAAAAACUUUCGCAGGCACUAUGGUAAUACAAAAAAUUUCAUUUUUCUCUAAGUUCACUGGAAGAGAUCUAAAGGAGAGGUGGAAGGCAUACAUUCUCAGGUGGCACUGGAAAAUAGUUACUCUAAAUCACAAAGAGCCGAAUACUAUUAUCAGUCACACAGAUAUAAAUUUGAAGUAAUUCAGCUGAACUUAGUAAAGUUACGCUGGUGUAACUAAUGGCAGAUUUGAGCUUGAUAUGUGUUUUCUUACAUCUUGUAGACUUUGCUAGAAUGUAUAGCUUGUGCACCUGAGAUCGCUACUGCUUCUCUCCCUCCCCCCGUUUUCUCUGCACUCUGCGUGUCUCCUGUUUUGAAUCUGGUUGGUGACUGCAAAUUUAGGUUAGCCCUGACUGACUGUUCAAGCAUCAGCUCCUGCUUUGAGUGGAAUUGACUGAACAUACAAGAUUGCUGUGAAAUUUAUUUAGCAGGUGUUUCUCCAAGUUCAGUUUUAGGAGCUAAUUGUCAAUCAAAUAGACAUUGAGAAAAUGAUAGCUGAACAUCCAUUCAUUUGUUUUUUGUGCUGGCAGCCCAUUAAUGAAUUAAAGCUACUGUGUCAUCUGGCCUACUUUCUUUAAAUCAGUGGCUGUUACCACCAGUUUGAGAACCAUUGAUCAAAAACAAAAAGGGUAAAUUAAGAAAUUACAUUUCUUUAGCCUGAUUAACAAUGCUCGUAAUCUCUGCAGCAAACAUAUGGGGCAAUUAAAGAACUUUUUAAAGGAGGUGACCUAAAUGGUAGUUCAUCCAUGCCAGAGGUUUUUGCUUAAUCUGGCAGUAUACUCAAUAUUGUCUUUUGAUCAACAAAAAAAAUACAAAACUUUUGAACAACUUAUUUAUCAGACUAACCAUUCAGGCAACCAUUUAAUUUGGGGCUCUGACAAAUACUGUAUUGACAACUCAGUUCCAUAACUGGGCUCAACCUGUUUUUAUUAGAGAUGGCCAGAGCUGAGAAAGUCAGAUACAAACUUCCUGAAAUGUGAGCUGGCUUAGGUAUGGUGUCCUGGUUAAAGUCUGUCAUUAGUGUUGUUUUUUAAUGACUGUAUGAAAGUAAUAAAAUAUUUUAAAUAAUA